CCCCUCCUCUCGCUUACCGCAGGCAGCAGCGGCCGUGCUGACUGUACAGAAAGAGGAGGGAGAGCAGGCGCCCCUGAAUACACCCCAGUGGUGGAGUCUGUGCCCCGACUGGACUGUGAUCAGGGGGACAAGU